rnacentral:rRNA from 1 species
CCGAGGCCGAGAGGCGUAGGCGAUGGACAGCAGGUCAAUAUUCCUGCACCGCUGUUGUGGAGGUAAAGGGGGGACACGGAAGGUAAGCUGAGCAUACCUAUUGGACAUGGUGUGUCCCCUGUCUUAGGUGAUGCCGGGGUAGGCAAAUCCGCUCCGGAUAUUAUAACCGAGGGCAGGGGGAAGUUGAGGGGAGACCCGAUUCGAUUCAGCCGAUCCUGUACCGUCAAGAAAAACCUCGUUAUCGUUGAAGCAACAGCGCCCGUACCGCAAACCGACACUGGUAGGUGGGGGUAAUAGUCCCAAGGUGAUCGAGAUAACCUUCGUUAAGGAACUCGGCAAACUAGCCCCGUAACUUCGGGAGAAGGGGUACCCUUUUCAAAGGGUGACACUAAAUGGGCCCAAGUGACUGUUUAACAAAAACACAGGUCUCUGCUAAAGCGUAAGCUGAUGUAUAGGGGCUGAUACCUGCCCAGUGCUGGAAGGUUAAGGGGAGAGGUUAGCGCAAGCGAAGCCUUGAACUGAAGCCCCAGUGAACGGCGGCCGUAACUAUAACGGUCCUAAGGUAGCGAAAUCCCUUGUCGGGUAAGUUCCGACCCGCACGAAUGGUGUAACAACUUGAGCGCUGUCUUAACGAGGGACUCGGCGAAAUUGAAAUACCCGUGAAGAUGCGGGUUACCCGCCACAGGACAAAAAGACCCCGUGGAGCUUUACUACAGCUUGGCACUGAGUCUGGACUUUUCAUGUGUAGGAUAGGUGGGAGGCUUUGAAGCCGGAGCGCCAGCUUCGGUGGAGCCAUCCUUGAAAUACCACCCUUGGAGAGUUUAGUCUCUAACCCCUGAUCAAGCAGGGGGACAGUGUCUGGUGGGUAGUUUGGCUGGGGCGGCCGCCUCCUAAAAAGUAACGGAGGCGCCCAAAGGUUCCCUCAGGGUGAAUGGAAACCACCCGUAGAGCGCAUUGGCAUAAGGGAGCUUGACUGCGAGACACACAAGUCGAGCAGGGACGAAAGUCGGGCAAAGUGAUCCCACGGUUCUGAGUGGAAGGGCCGUGGCUUAACGGAUAAAAGCUACCCCGGGGAUAACAGGCUUAUCUUGCCCAAGAGUUCACAUCGACGGCAAGGUUUGGCACCUCGAUGUCGGCUCGUCGCAUCCUGGGGCUGGAGAAGGUCCCAAGGGUCCGGCUGUUCGCCGGUUAAAGCGGCACGCGAGCUGGGUUCAGACCGUCGUGAGACAGGUCGGUCUCUAUCCGUGGUGGGCGCCCAGAGAUUUGAGGAGGCCUUUCCCUAGUACGAGAGGAUCGGGAAGGACAGACCAAUGGUGUACCAGUUGUUCUGCCAAGGGCAUUGCUGGGUAGCCAAGUCUGGUUCGGAUAAGCACUGAAAGCAUCUAAGUGCGAAACCGGCUCCAAGAUUAGAUCUCUCACCCUUCCUUCGGGAGGGGGUAAGACCGCAGGUAGACUACCUGCUUGAUAGGCCACAGGUGUAAGCAUGGCAACAUGUUCAGCUGAGUGGUACUAAUGGUCGAGGGCUUGACCUG